AUGUUACCUAACAAUCCUCGAACGAUGUGUGUUCACAACGAUCAUUCAUUCAGCCAAGAGGGAACCGACCGACCUACUUGCCUACCAAAAAAUUAAAACCAGCAAAAAUAACAAGUUUGACAUGUUAGCAGGACAGCUUCAUGGAGCCCUCCAAUCCUCGAACGAUGUGUGUCCUGUGGUUGUUGAAAACCGCGCAUAUGAUUAAACAGCUGCAUGUCUGUCUUAAGAGUAGAUUGUAUUCACAAUCUACUUAUUCAAAGGAACGGAUAUCUUCUGUACUUACUAGUCCAAGAUGGUGUUAGAAAUCUCACAACUCUUAGCCAUUAAGUUUACUGCUACCCACUUUGACAUUCUAUAAAUAAACCCUCUGCCUAGUUCCUUGUACUCCAACUUCCAAUUGGAAGAGAAGCACAAACAUUAGCACAGAUGCCGGGUUGGGGCCCACCGCCGGGAGGACCUCCCGGCCCUCCGGGGGUAUGCGGUUGCUGUGAUUUUCUCUGUGGUGGCAUAUGCCGGCUUGUAUCUUCAUGUUUCUAUCUCCUUUGCUGCUGCUGCAUCUUUGAGAGCUGCUGUGGACCAAUGUUUGGUAGGCCACCUGGACCACCUGGACCCCCUGGUCCACCAGGUGGACCUCCUCGCUUCUAAGCAGCCACCAGAUUUGUCGUGUAUUAGUGAACCAUACUAUGAAUGCAGAUAAAUAAAAUUGAUCAUGCAUGUAUAGUUGUUAGCACAUCGAUCGAGGAAGAUAAUCAUAUUGAAUUUUUUAGGCUUUUCUGUAUUUUUUGGGGGCAGAAUCCAUUUAUUCCUUCCCUAUGUAUUUUACCACCUCUCAGGUGAUUAUUGUCCAUUAUCUGAAGGUUAUUUUCUGCUGAUAAUUGAACUAAA